rnacentral:lncRNA from 1 species
CCGUGGCUUCUGGAGUCUUCUAGAUGACAGAAAAUUGGACGGCACGUUAAUAUCUCUAUGUAAACCCGACGUGUGGGCCUUUCUUCUGUAUUUCCUGAUAACCCCCUGCAGAAAUAGACAAACACCAAAACUCAUGGAAUUCUGUCAGAUAAAACCCUAAGUCUGGGUGUUGGUUGCAUUUGGAUCCUUUUUUUUAUUUAUUUGAUGAUUAUAUUUGGUACUUAAGGACCGUUAACAACUCCCCCAAGCCUACCUCUUGCUCGUCCCUGAGCAAGGAUGAACUCAAGAGUUUCUCUAGUGGUUUCAUGCCCUAAAAGUAAGAUCUCAUCUCUGAGUUAGAGUAAACUAUUAAGACUUAAAACUUACUCAUUUUACCUUUCACCAUGGGGCUUGUAACCGUCACUUGUGUCUUGAGCAGUUUAAAGAUAGAACGGUCAAGUUAAGCGCCAUGUCUCGUGAUCUUUGAUUAACUAUAGCUCUGGAGUUUUUGCAGAUUUUCAAAUAAAACUCAGAGAUUCCUUGUAUGACUCUCUCAGAUCUCUCUUUUCUGGUAUUUCUGGAUCCUUACCAAGGCAGCAAUGGUAUAUGCCUUCUCUCAAAGUAUGUGGUAUUUUUGAUAUAAGGCAUAGUGAUAUUGCCUUCUCUCUCACCCUACUCUAAUAAGGUUUUGAUAUCUGGAGCUCAUAGGUGGGAGACAGCUAAUACAUACUUACAAGACAUUUAUUGCAUAGUCAAACCAUGGAUCCAGAGAAACAAGUCAAUAAGUUAAAUCAAGAUGUGCAUGUGUGGCGAAUGAAUGGUGUAUGGUGAUGAUGGUGAUAAUGGUGAAAGCAAUGGUGAAAGUCUAAUUCUACGUUUGCUCUUUUGAGGGAUACAUACCUUUCUUGCACUUUAAAUCUUUUUUUUUGAGGGGAAUGUGAUGCUCUAUAUUUUCUUUUUCUUUUUCUCUCAGGUGGGUAUCUUUGUACCACUAAUUCUACUGUCGGACACUUGUCCAUUUUUACCUCUCGUCUCACUCUUUCUUUUCUUCGAGGUUCCGGGCACUUGCCCAUUUUUAUCUCCUCGUAUCCUCUUUUUUUAGAGCACUCAUCUCCUUAAAUAAUAUUUUUGGCUAUAUUCUCCCGGAUUACACCGGAUUAGUAACCAAGAUAACUCGAGCAUUUAUUUCACAGGGAAAAACAGAAAUGUUUUUGGCUAUAUUCUCCCGGAUUAGGAGUAGAAUACUUUUGGGUGGCUCUGGAGAUGGAAGUGAGUGGAUAUAUGUAGAUGCGUACUUCCGGAGUAGAAGCAGCAUGUGUGAGUGAACGUGCAAGUGAAUCUUGAUUUUAGCAACAUGACAAGCUCCUAAGGGUCUACACAGCUUGACCACACUCAACGCUCAUAAGCAGUAAAAUGUAAAUGUGUGGCUCAAAGUCUAAUAAGCAUGUAUAUAUGGCUGUGGUAGGAUUUUAAACUCUCAUCAUGCAGGAACUCAUCAUGUGUUAUUUUAAAGAUUUUCAAAGAUAAAAUUCUCCAGAAUUCUAGCAUCUCUA